rnacentral:lncRNA from 1 species
AGCUCCAGUUCUUGACGAUUCCUCAACUCCUUCAAGAAUCCAUCUCAAUCAAGAAACGAUCUCCAAGAACCUUCUACCUCAUCACCCUCUCCCUCAUCUUCCCUCUCUCCUUCGCCAUCCUCGCUCACUCCCUCUUCACCCAGCCGCUUCUCGCCAAGCUCGACUCCUCCGACCCUCCUAACUCGGAUCGUUCACGUCACGACUGGACCAAGCUCCUGAUCUUCCAGUUCAGCUACCUCAUCUUCCUCUUCGCCUUCUCUCUCCUCUCGACCGCCGCCGUGGUCUUCACCGUCGCUUCUCUCUACACCGGGAAGCCAGUCUCCUUCUCCUCCACCAUCUCCGCCAUCCC